rnacentral:lncRNA from 1 species
AGAGGAUUCCGGUAUUGUUACCCUGUGCAAAAAACAGAAAAGUUUGAAAUAAUAAGCGAACUUAUACCCAGAAGAACAAAGUUGAAGGAGGAAGCCAACUGAGUCGAACGAAAGGGUCGGAUAACAUUCACCUGUGAUUCGAUUAUCCUGCAGAACAACGACCCCAGAGCACUGUGUGAAGCUCCAACGUUUUGAACGGGGAUCGGGACGAGUUGGAGCUAAAACUUCUGUUUGAAUCAUAAAAGAAGUGACGUUAAAUAGAAGAGUAACGGAGAAAAUAGGAAGAUAACCAGUAGGACGAGCAAAGGACGAAGAGAAAGCAACACCAGCGGAUCCAUCCUUCGAUAAACUCUCGGUCUCUACUUUUCUGCUCUUCGUUUAUAUUUUUUUUAUGAUCAAGACAUGCAUGUAAGUGUGAUUAAGAACCAUCGAAGGUUAAAUCUUACUCUGUGUUGUCUUUAACCCGAGAUUUAACCUUGGCCUUCCAUGGAAACUCUUCUUAUAUGAAGCAGUUUGCUUGUUUCAGUUAGAUCAGGAUCUGUUUUAGGAGUAGUUGUUUAGUAUAGGUUUUGGCAGAAUCAAGGUUUAAGUUUUCGAUUAGAGAAAUCGGUAGGUUUAUAAAAGGAAUUGGUUUUGGAUUCGAGCUUAGUGAUGAAUUCAAGGGUGGGUUUGUGUUGAUAUUUUCGUGUUUAAGGGAUGGCGCUGCCACUCCUCUCCGACGAUGGCCAGUGGAAGAAGGCAACCGGAGCGAGAAGAGGGAAAAGCGUUUCCAGAACCGUGUUAUGUUUGUUUUUAUGCAUUAUGAUUUGUUUUGAUUAAAUUAAAUUGGCAUUAAUUAGGAUUAUGUGUGUAAUCAUUUGUUUGGUCUUCCCAAAUAUUAUUUUUGGACUAAGCAUUGGUUACUGUGGGUUGGGAUAUUUAUUCUGUUUUGAAAUUUUGAAAGGAAAUUGAUUAAGGAAAAUGUAACACUCAAAGGCCAUUUACUGUUAUUAUUGGGAAUCAAGUGUCGCAUUAGCCUACCAUGGUUGCAUUUGCAUUGCCAUUUUAUUAUUACUUUUAUCUUAAACGUAUUAUGACUUUAAGUGUAUAUGUUUGGACCUUGGGCCAAUAUAAUUUACAGUUUCGAUA